UACGUAGGGGGGCAAGCGUUGUCCGGAUUUAUUGGGCGUAAAGAGCGUGUAGGCGGCCAGGUAGGUCCGUUGUGAAAACUGGAGGCUUAACCUCCAGCUGUCGAUGGAAACCAUCUGGCUAGAGUCCGGAAGAGGAGAGUGGAAUUCCUGGUGUAGCGGUGAAAUGCGCAGAUAUCAGGAAGAACACCCGUGGCGAAGGCGGCUCUCUGGGACGGUACUGACGCUGAGGAGCGAAAGCGUGGGGAGCGAACAGG
rnacentral:rRNA from 1 species